rnacentral:ncRNA from 1 species
AAAAGUGGGUGAUAAAACUUCAUCUAAGGCUAAAUAUGACUGGAUGCGAUAGCGAACAAGUACCGUGAGGGAAAGUUGCAAAGGACUUUGAAGAGAGAGUUCAAGAGAACGUGAAAAUCGCUGGAGUGGAACCGGAGACAGUUGAUGUUGCUUGGAGACAAUCUUGGUGGCUGAUCGCUUAGCUGUGAUCGCCGCCGGGAGUCGUUUCCUAUGCUACGCCGACGGCGUUGGCCGCUCGUUCUGGCCCGACAGUGUUGCCCAUCUCGCAAGAGACGGUGUCUUGUUGUCGGUCGUUGGUUCGUGGUGGCUAGCGUUUAGUUACGCUAGUGUGUGUGACGUCGGUGUGAAAGUCGACGACGUUUCCGACCCGUCUUGAAACACGGAUUACGGAGUGUUUGUCUGCUGCGAGUCAAAGGGUGUAAAAACCUUGCGGCGCAAUGAAAGUGAAGGUUAGUCUCGAACUGACCGACGUGGGAUCCGUGCUCUUCGGAGUGCGGCGCACCACGGCCCUAUGCGUGUCACUUGUGACUGUGUAGAGGUUGAGCAGUAGGCAAGCGACCCGAAAGAUGGUGAACUAUGCCUGAGCAGGAUGAAGCCAGAGGAAACUCUGGUGGAAGUCCGUAUCGGUUCUGACGUGCAAAUCGAUCGAUAGACUUGGGUAUAGGGGCGAAAGACUAAUCGAACCAUCUAGUAGCUGGUUCCUUCCGAAGUUUCCCUCAGGAUAGCUGGAACUCUUGCAGUUAUAUUCGGUAAAGCUAAUGAUUAGAGGCCUUAGGGGACGUAAUGUCCUCAACCUAUUCUCAAACUUUCAAUGGAUAUGGCGUCGCAGUUUCUUUAGUGAACUGCGGCGUGAAUGCGAGUUCCAAGUGGGCCAUUUUUGGUAAGCAGAACUGGCGCUGUGGGAUGAACCAAACGUGGAGUUAAGGUGCCUAACUUCUCGCUUAUGAGACCCCAUAAAAGGUGUUGGUUGAUAUUGACAGCAGGACGGUGGCCAUGGAAGUCGGUACCCGCUAAGGAGUGUGUAACAACUC